AGUGAACGCUGGCGGUAGGCCUAACACAUGCAAGUCGAACGGCAGCACAGUAAGAGCUUGCUCUUACGGGUGGCGAGUGGCGGACGGGUGAGGAAUACAUCGGAAUCUACUUUUUCGUGGGGGAUAACGUAGGGAAACUUACGCUAAUACCGCAUACGACCUACGGGUGAAAGCAGGGGAUCUUCGGACCUUGCGCGAUUGAAUGAGCCGAUGUCGGAUUAGCUAGUUGGCGGGGUAAAGGCCCACCAAGGCGACGAUCCGUAGCUGGUCUGAGAGGAUGAUCAGCCACACUGGAACUGAGACACGGGCCAGACCCCUACGGGAGGCAGCAGGGGGGAAUAUUGGACAAUGGGCGCAAGCCUGAUCCAGCCAUACCGCGUGGGUGAAGAAGGCCUUCGGGUUGUAAAGCCCUUUUGUUGGGAAAGAAAAGCAGCAGGUUAAUACCCCGCUGUUCGGACGGUACCCAAAGAAUAAGCACCGGCUAACUUCGU
rnacentral:rRNA from 1 species